AUGAACGCUAGCUACAGGCUUAACACAUGCCAGUCGCGGGGAAACGAUGAGAGAGCUUGCUCUCUUAGGCGUCGACCGGCGCACGGGUGAGUAACGCGUAUCCAACCUACCCAUUACAGGGGGAUAACCUUGCGAAAGUAAGACUAAUACCCCAUGGCAUUUUAUGGUGGCAUCAUUAUAGGAUUAAAGAUUUAUUGGUAAUGGAUGGGGAUGCGUCUGAUUAGCUUGUUGGCGGGGUAACGGCCCACCAAGGCAACGAUCAGUAGGGGUUCUGAGAGGAAGGUCCCCCACAUUGGAACUGAGACACGGUCCAAACUCCUACGGGAGGCAGCAGUGAGGAAUAUUGGUCAAUGGGCGAGAGCUUGAACCAGCCAAGUAGCGUGCAGGAUGACGGCCCUAUGGGUUGUAAACUGCUUUUAUAGGGGAAUAAAGUGAGCUACGUGUAGUUUAUUGCAUGUACCCUAUGAAUAAGGACCGGCUAAUUCCGUG
rnacentral:rRNA from 1 species